GACGAACGCUGGCGGCGUGCCUAAUACAUGCAAGUAGAACGCUGAAGGAGGAGCUUGCUUCUCCGGAUGAGUUGCGAACGGGUGAGUAACGCGUAGGUAACCUGCCUGGUAGCGGGGGAUAACUAUUGGAAACGAUAGCUAAUACCGCAUAAUAGUAGAUGUUGCAUGACAUUUGCUUAAAAGGUGCAAUUGCACCACUACCAGAUGGACCUGCGUUGUAUUAGCUAGUUGGUGGGGUAACGGCUCACCAAGGCGACGAUACAUAGCCGACCUGAGAGGGUGAUCGGCCACACUGGGACUGAGACACGGCCCAGACUCCUACGGGAGGCAGCAGUAGGGAAUCUUCGGCAAUGGACGGAAGUCUGACCGAGCAACGCCGCGUGAGUGAAGAAGGUUUUCGGAUCGUAAAGCUUUGUUGUAAGAGAAGAACGAGUGUGAGAGUGGAAAGUUCACGCUGUGACGGUAUCUUACCAGAAAGGGACGGCUAACUACGUGCCAGCAGCCGCGGUAAUACGUAGGUCCCGAGCGUUGUCCGGAUUUAUCGGGCGUAAAGCGAGCGCAGGCGGUUAGAUAAGUCUGAAGUUAAAGGCUGUGGCUUAACCAUAGUACGCUUUGGAAACUGUUUAACUUGAGUGCAAGAGGGGAGAGUGGAAUUCCAUGUGUAGCGGUGAAAUGCGUAGAUAUAUGGAGGAACACCGGUGGCGAAAGCGGCUCUCUGGCUUGUAACUGACGCUGAGGCUCGAAAGCGUGGGGAGCAAACAGG
rnacentral:rRNA from 1 species